UUUGAGUUCCACUGUGAUCCUGAGAGUCAAUAAUCUCUCUGUCACAGAGUCCUCCACUGAGGAGGACGAUGAUGAGGAAGAGUCGUCGUGCUCUGAGGGGAGUGAGCUGGAGGAGAGUGGGUUGGGCCUGCUGGCCAGGUUCGCAGCCAGCGCCCUCCCGGUCAACCCCGCCCCCCUGCCCCGUCUCCACGACAACAAACACCGUAGCAGGCAAAGCAUUCUGGGUUCUGGUUCUGGUUCUGACCCGUGUGUGUGUCCUCUAGGUUCUGGUUCUGGUUCUGACCUGUGUGUGUGUGUGUCCUCUAGGUUCUGGUUCUGGUUCUGACCUGUGUGUGUGUCCUCUAGGUUCUGGUUCUGGUUCUGACCUGUGUGUGUGUCCUCUAGGUUCUGGUUCUGGUUCUGACCUGUGUGUGUGUCCUCUAG